rnacentral:rRNA from 1 species
UACGGGGGGAGCAAGCGUUGUUCGGAUUUACUGGGCGUAAAGGGCGCGUAGGCGGCGCAACAAGUCACUUGUGAAAUCUCCGGGCUUAACCCGGAGCGGCCAAGUGAUACUGUCGUGCUAGAGUGCGGAAGGGGCUACUGGAAUUCUCGGUGUAGCGGUGAAAUGCGUAGAUACCGAGAGGAACACCUGCGGCGAAGGCGGGUUGCUGGGCUGACACUGACGCUGAGGCGCGAAAGCCAGGGGAGCGAACGGG